UUUACUCAGCAACCAACAGUACAAUAGAGUGCCCAUUUCUUUGCUUAAAUAGUGGCUAUUGUAACUAAUUUCUCUUGUUUUUUUUGCCAGUUUUAUAGGUGGAAACUGAACUUACAUUUGACUACUAAGUUUGAACAUAUUCUUAUCUUCAAUGAUUUAAACUGUCCUCUUUGGCCACAUUCCGACCUACUCCUAACCGAAGACAGCCUGAUUUGGAGUCCUUGAUCUGUGAUGAUGACAACCUUAACCCCUGUAAAACACAGCGCUUACAACCUGUCAAGAAUCUGCAGAUGAUAAGAGAACAAAGAAAUGUGCUCUGUGAGGAAACUAAAGGCCUGCGCGUAAUGCAAAGAGCUGUAGCCAGUGCCAAUCAGUGAGGAAACUGCCUUUUUUAUGUACAGCUCAGCCAGCAGUGCCCCUGAGCACCCCUAUAUCUGCACUACCCUGUUUCCUUUGUGUAGACCUGGGCUCCCUCCUGCAUUUGUGAAUUCUGUUCAAAAUGCAUGUUUUUAGGAUGUAUAUGCCUAGUUAAAAUAUGUUCUUCAAACAUAUACUUUAAGCAAAACCACUCAGGAGGGUGUAGGCCUUGUCAUACUUUGUUACCUGGAAUGCUAUCCGGCACUGGUCAUUUAAGUCAAUAAGGAAAGAUCUACUGACAUCAGGUUGCAUGGAAGAUAGUGCUGUAUGUAUUACAGAUACAUACACACAAAGAAAAGAGUUGGGAAUUCAAGGCAUACACUUAUAAAAAGAUAGUCACACACAUCAACAAAACAAAAAGGCAUCCUACAGUAUGGGAGAUUAUAUUUGUAAAUGACAUAUCCGACAAGGGGUUAACAUCCAA